rnacentral:lncRNA from 1 species
GUCAUCCCCAUACUCCGUCUGGUAAUGAGUGUCAAACAUUUCAUCGCAUCGAUACCCCGUCUGGUAUGAAAGUGAACCAUAUCUCUCAAACCUUCCCGGUAAGAGAAUUUCCAGCCCCAUUCGACUGAGUUAACAUUCACGGUAGGGUUCCCUAGGUAUCGGGCCUGUCCAUCUUUUUUCUCGGUACUCAGUAAGUCUUUCACAUAAAGAUU